GGCAGAUUUGAACAUCACCUCAACUCCACAUACUUUCUGCUAAAAAUCUUUGUUUUCAGUGACAUGGGAGAUGGAGAUGCUCAGAACCUCCUGGUAAUACACCACUUUCCAGCUCCACAGCUUCAUUUUUCUGCACUUGAAGUGUUCAGCAUAAAGAUAUGACGGUCUGAGGGCUUUUUAGAAAAGAAAGAUGACAAAGUACAUUCAUACUCAAAGACACUGAGAAAUCAACUCAUCUGUUAUGCUAUGGGAAGGGAUUUAAGGGUAUGGCCCCAAAACCUGUG